CGUCUACGAGCGAUGCGAUUGCGGGUGGAACACGCAAAAUGACGAGGUAAAUGAGGGUGGAAGCCUCUCUCUCUUCCCUCUAUUACCGGCGGCCGCUCUCUUUGCUCAGAAGCCGCCGCCACCGCCGCGGUAACGACCGUCGUCGCUCCCUCUCCUUCGAGACGUUCCUCCCCACGGGUCCCACGUCCGACCUGCUCUAGUUGUUCUCGUUCUGGCCGUAGGGGAUGGAGUUGAAAAAGAUGCACACCCAGCAGACAGAGACGCGGCGAGAUGGCUAGGUCAGUGACAAAGGGAUAGAUAUGAAGUACUAAUCCCUGAACCUUCAGCGUUUCGUUCUCGUUCUGUAACCCAAGAUACGACCAAAACAACCCCGACGAAUAAAGGAACCUUCUUGGUAGUCACGACACGGUACCCCGUAAAAACGACUGUUUAUACCCUCCUUCGGGACGUAACAAUAGUCAUAGGAGAGUCACUAGCAUAAAUUGUGGGAAAAGCCGGAAUCGUGCUGAAUGACCUACCGUUAACAUUGAUCCCCCGAUGAACCCAAUGAGACACCAUAUAAUCCUGGUUAGUUCCGGAUACGAAGUCUUCAGACGUCUUUUCUCGUGGUUCGUGAUCCUUAAAGAGAACAAUGUAGAAGUGCUCGUUAUCGAGAACAAUAACCUGGUCGGUAACCUCCUAAAGAACGUGUCGGAUGUUUCUUCAUGGGCUUAGAAAAGAGACUCCUUAGGUAUAAACCUUCCAAAGGUAUGAAGGAGGGAACGAAGCAGUAUAGCCAAGAUCGCCGUCCUCGUACAGAACGUACGUAAACCGAGGGCCUUUGAGACGUGUUCAUGGUACUACUGUUUCACCUUCGGUAACUCCUUUACCUCCGCGUUCAACGACUAAGCUGGAGUCUUCUGUCCUUUCGAUUUGUUAGACCUAGUCCGUCUUACCGUAGGUGUUUCUUGGACGAUUUCUUGACCGUCAACUACAGUCGUUAUUGGGAGAUAACACACAAAAGAGAGGUACUAUGUCGAAUAGAACUCUAUAAAAGUGAGACCCGACACUCGUCGUCUUUUAUGGCCCCUGACUCAAAAUGUAGAGUCCUCCAACCAUGACACGAUCGAUAGAGUCCAAAACCACAAAACCAUAUAGUUGAAGACUAAAUGGGCGAGGAACGGUUCAUACGACCCGAUCAGUUCGGUAAGGCAAGACGUCGCCAUAAUAGAUAUGAAGAGGAACGUUGUAUAGGUAAGUACCGAUUGGAUAUACCACACCUCGAGUUUCAUGAGUAGUUGUAUCGGAGCGAAGAAUUCUUAUACAAACGCCGAUGCUAAUGAUAACGGACGUUGUAAGACGUCUUGUGUCGCCACCCUGUUCUUGUUUCCCCACAGCGUUUACCAUAUAGACACUGAGACUACAGUUAGAAGUUUCGUCAUCGGGGUCGUCGUCGUCCUUAAGACAAAAGUACCCGAGUCUUCUUGUAUUGACCUAACAAGUAUGGUCCACUAGUCUAGGACAAGACCUACGACUUGUACCACAGCCAUUAGCCCGAGAGCGACUGCAAGUUCGGUAAAAAGAGAUACGGCUCACGCGACUUUACUACUCGUAUGUUAAUACAAGUAGAUCGAUCAAUUCAUUUCAAUCCCUGUGUGGUGUCAAACGUCGGGACCUAUUUCUUUUUGACGCAGCACAUAACACAGUGUAUAUAAAAAGUAUAAAAAAAAACCAACACACUAGUCUACACAGUUCUAUAGGAAAAAAAUCCAGUUUUGAGGAUGCGUGCUCCACGAAACCAAAUACUCAGCAAGGACCAUUCUUCUGGUUUUAACAAAACCACCUAACAAUUAGAUUUCCCAAAGUAUACAUGGAACUUGAGGCGUUGUUACUUAUGUAAAAAAAGUCUAACCCU
rnacentral:rRNA from 1 species